rnacentral:lncRNA from 1 species
GAGAGGUUUGUGGGCGACUCUAGUAGAAGCUGAGCUUGGAAAGGCUAAGUGAAGGCCGAAAGGGAAAGUCGCCAGUAUCCAGCUGUGAGGAGACCCAGUGGCCCUGUGGACUGAGCAGUCAGGUUGUGGAUAGGUCUUCUGUGGGUGGCAGACAGGGAACAGGAAGGGGCUUAGACACAGUGGAGAUGGAGAAGGAUUGGCUGGCUGUGUGUGUGAAGAGAAGCUGGAACAGCUAGAUGCUUCCAGAAAAGGAGGAUGCCUUGGGGCUGAAUGUGCUGAGGGCAAAAGCAGAGAGACAGGUCCUUCCCUGUUCGAGGAGUUCAAGUGCCCCCUUUCUUCCUCAGAGCAUCAUGUAAAUAAGGUCUGAGAAUCACCUGGGAGCACUAAGAGAAGGGCUUCAUUCAGAUGACACAAACCCCACAGAAUGUUGUUGAUGAGCCGCCUCUGUUAGAAAAGUGCUUGCUGCACAGGCCUGGAGGCCUGAGUCAAGUGCUUAGCAUCUGUGUAAAAGCUGGGCAUGGCAGAGCAUGCCUGUAAUUCCAAUGCUGGAGUGACAGAGAGGAUCCUGGGGUUUGCUGACCAGCCAGUCUAGCUAUUCACCCAGCUCUGGGUUUGGUGAGAAGCACUGUCUCAAAAAUAAUGUGGAGAAAGGCAGCCUGCAUGGCUCGGUGGCUGCUUAAAACGCAGGUGUGGAAAAUGGCCCUUUUCCCGAGGCUAGAAAUACCUGAAGGAGAAAUGAAAGAGUCCUUGCCUUGAUGCCUCCCAGACAACACUGUUUCUGCUAAUG